GAACGGGUGAGUAAUACAUCGGAACGUGCCCAAUCGUGGGGGAUAACGCAGCGAAAGCUGUGCUAAUACCGCAUACGAUCUACGGAUGAAAGCAGGGGAUCGCAAGACCUUGCGCGAAUGGAGCGGCCGAUGGCAGAUUAGGUAGUUGGUGAGGUAAAGGCUCACCAAGCCUUCGAUCUGUAGCUGGUCUGAGAGGACGACCAGCCACACUGGGACUGAGACACGGCCCAGACUCCUACGGGAGGCAGCAGUGGGGAAUUUUGGACAAUGGGCGAAAGCCUGAUCCAGCCAUGCCGCGUGCAGGAUGAAGGCCUUCGGGUUGUAAACUGCUUUUGUACGGAACGAAACGGCCUUUUCUAAUAAAGAGGGCUAAUGACGGUACCGUAAGAAUAAGCACCGGCUAACUACGUGCCAGCAGCCGCGGUAAUACGUAGGGUGCAAGCGUUAAUCGGAAUUACUGGGCGUAAAGCGUGCGCAGGCGGUUAUGUAAGACAGUUGUGAAAUCCCCGGGCUCAACCUGGGAACUGCAUCUGUGACUGCAUAGCUAGAGUACGGUAGAGGGGGAUGGAAUUCCGCGUGUAGCAGUGAAAUGCGUAGAUAUGCGGAGGAACACCGAUGGCGAAGGCAAUCCCCUGGACCUGUACUGACGCUCAUGCACG
rnacentral:rRNA from 1 species